rnacentral:rRNA from 1 species
AAUCAACGCUGGCGGCGUGCCUCAGACAUGCAAGUCGAACGAUUAAAGCUCUCUUCGGAGAGUGUAUAGAGUGGCGCACGGGUGAGUAACACGUAAGUAAUCUACCUUUGAGUGGGGAAUAACAGUCGGAAACGGCUGCUAAUACCGCAUAAUGCAGCGGCACCGCAAGGUGACAGUUGUUAAAGGAGCAAUCCGCUUAAAGAGGAGCUUGCGGCAGAUUAGCUAGUUGGUAAGGUAAUGGCUUACCAAGGCUACGAUCUGUAACCGGUCUUAGAGGACGGUCGGUCACACUGACACUGAAUAACGGGUCAGACUCCUACGGGAGGCAGCAGUCGGGAAUUUUGGGCAAUGGGCGAAAGCCUGACCCAGCAACGCCGCGUGAAGGAUGAAGUAUUUCGGUAUGUAAACUUCGAAAGAAUAGGAAGAAUUAAUGACGGUACUAUUUAUAAGGUCCGGCUAACUACGUG